GUCACAUUUACAUGGGUCCAGCCACGCGCCUGCGCUGCUUCUGGUAUUCUCGUGACGGAGAAACUGGAUGUCAUCUUGUGCAAUACAAGAACUCAUUCAGUGGCUCAGAGCGCUCAGAUGUCAUCUCCUCCCCUUCUGGAUUAUCCUGCUAACACUGUUUGACAGAUGAUGCUUUGAUAGCCCAUUAUUCAUAUUCCCAUUCUCCUGUGAGUUCUGCAGGGUUUUAUGUUUACUGGGCUACAUAGAGAGACAGAUUGAGAUAGACAGACAGACAGACAGAUAGAUAGAUGGAUAGACAGACAGACAGCUACCAUACACUAUCGUACGCUGGGGCAGCGGCUUAUUUUUCACCAGCAAUUGCACAAAUACAAUGUAUGGAGAAAUCAAAAAAUGAAACUUAAUAGCACGAACAUUGGAGAAAAAAAAGGUGAAAAAAUGGCACGUGAAUAUAAAUAUAUAAUAUGAGAGUCGCCAUGGUGUCUGCAUUUACAAAUGUAAUGCAUUUAUGGAG